UGGGGAAUUUUGGACAAUGGGCGAAAGCCUGAUCCAGCAAUGCCGCGUGUGUGAAGAAGGCCUUCGGGUUGUAAAGCACUUUUGUCCGGAAAGAAAUCCUUGGCUCUAAUACAGUCGGGGGAUGACGGUACCGGAAGAAUAAGCACCGGCUAACUACGUGCCAGCAGCCGCGGUAAUACGUAGGGUGCAAGCGUUAAUCGGAAUUACUGGGCGUAAAGCGUGCGCAGGCGGUUUGCUAAGACCGAUGUGAAAUCCCCGGGCUCAACCUGGGAACUGCAUUGGUGACUGGCAGGCUAGAGUAUGGCAGAGGGGGGUAGAAUUCCACGUGUAGCAGUGAAAUGCGUAGAGAUGUGGAGGAAUACCGAUGGCGAAGGCAGCCCCCUGGGCCAAUACUGACGCUCAUGCACGAAAGCGUGGGGAGCAAACAGGAUUAGAUACCCUGGUAGUCCACGCCCUAAACGAUGUCAACUAGUUGUUGGAGAUUCAUUUCCUUAGUAACGUAGCUAACGCGUGAAGUUGACCGCCUGGGGAGUACGGUCGCAAGAUU
rnacentral:rRNA from 1 species